UACGUAGGUGGCAAGCGUUGUCCGGAUUUACUGGGCGUAAAGAGCGCGCAGGCGGUCGUUCAAGUCGCGUGUGAAAGCCCCCGGCUCAACUGGGGAGGGUCACGCGAUACUGAUCGACUCGAAGGCAGGAGAGGGAAGUGGAAUUCCCGGUGUAGUGGUGAAAUGCGUAGAUAAUCUGGAGGAACACCGGUGGCGAAGGCGGCAUCCUGGACCGGUAUUGACACUGAGGCGCGAAAGCCAGGGGAGCAAACGGG
rnacentral:rRNA from 1 species